rnacentral:rRNA from 1 species
AGUUCGAUUCUGGCUCAGAUUGAACGCUGGCGGGAUGCUUUACACAUGCAAGUCGAACGGCAGCACGGACUUCGGUCUGGUGGCGGAGCGGCGAACGGUGAGUAAUGUAUCGGAACGUGCCUAGUAUGGGGAUAACUACGCGAAAGCGUAACUAAUACUGCAUACGCCCUUCGGGGGAAAGCGGGGACCUCGGGCCUCGCACUAUUAGAGCGGCCGAUAUCGAUUAGAAGAAGCAGUGGGUGAAUUCGCCCACCAAGGCGACGAUCCGUAGCUGGUUUGAGAGGACGACCAGCCACACUGGGACUGAGACACGGCCCAGACUGCCCGGCCGGGAGGCAGCAGUGGGGAAUUUUACCAGUCGGGGAAACUUUCGAUCCAGCCAUCCCGCGUGUGCGAUGAAGGCCUUCGGGAUGUAAAGACUUUUUGGCAGGAAAGAAAAUGGCACGGGAUAAUACCCGUGCAACUGACGGUACCUGCAGAAUAAGCACCGGCUAAUCAAUGCGCCAGCAGCCAUGGUAUUGUAGGCAAGCGUUAAUCGGAACUGAUUGGCGUAAGCGCGCAGGCGGUUCGGUGCCAGAAAGAUGUGAAAUCCCAGAGUUUAACUUUGGAACUGCAUUUUUAACUACCGAGCUAGAGUGUGUCAGAGGGGAGGUAAAUCAUGUAGCAGUGAAAUGCGUAGAUGCGUGAGAACACUUCGAUGGCGAAGGCAGCCUCUCCUGGGAUAAUGAUUGACGUCGAAAAAGAAAGCGUGGGGAGCAAACAGGAUUAGAUACCCUGGUAGUCCACGCUCAUAAACGAUACCAAUUAGCUGUUGGGGCCUUUGGCCUGUAGCGCAGCUAACGGCGGUGAAGUUGGACCGCCUGGGGAGUACGGUCGCAAGAUUAAAACUCAAAGGAAUUGACGGGUAACGCACAAGCGGUGGAUGAUGUGGAUUAAUUCGAUGCAACGCGAAAACCUACCUACCUUGACACAGUCUGGAAUCCCGAAGAGAUUUGGGAUGUUGCCUGCGAAGAGAACCGGAACACAGGUGCUGCAUGGCUGUCGUCAGCUUCGCCGAGAUGUUGGGUUAAGUCCCGCAACGAGCGCAACCCUUGUCAUUAGUUGCUGUUAAGCGGGCACUCUAAUGAGACUGCCGGUGACAAACCGGAGGAAGGUGGGGAUGACGUCAAGUCCUCAUGGCCCUUAUGGGUAGGGCUUCACACGUCAUACAAUGGUCGGGACAGAGGGUCGCCAACCCGCGAGGGGGAGCCAAUCCCAGAAACCGAUCGUAGUCCGGACUGCAGGUCUGCAACUGACUGCGUGAAGUCGGAACGCUAGUGUAAUCGUGAUCAGCAUGUCGCGUGAAUACGUUCCCGGUCUUGUACACACCGCCCGUCACACCAUGGGAGUGGCUUUACCAGAAGUAGUUAGCCUAACCGUGCGAGUGGCGAUUACCACGGGUAGGAUCUAUGACAGGUGAAGUCGUAACAAGGUAG